GCCAGAUUUAACCCUCCCCAUUCUCUACAGCUAGAGUUGGAGUCUGGAAAAUGCAACGGAGAUAUCUGGAUAUGUGUGCAGGGAUUAGUACCUACCCCUGCACUAGGUAUCAUGACCUCUCCAUACCCUUCUCUUGAAGAUCUCACUGGCUGCCCCUCUUUCUCUGGAGAAGCAAGGUAACCCCAACCAUCCUGAGGCAAUGUGGUGCUAUGUUGAGAAUGCCUCUUUAGCCAGCAUGGGGCAACAGAAAAAUCAGGUCAGGGAGGAGAUGUGACCUAGGGCUCUGUCCUUGGACUCUGCUCCCUGCUGGACUCUGAGGAGCAUUCCUAAGGGGCCAUGCUAAAGAGCACAGUGCUCAUAGGGGUCAUGGAGCAAGCGAUGGCGCAUCCAGAUGAUGACUAUCUCACUGUCCUAGCUGGAACCCAAGGACAUGUACAGAGGCUUGGUCCUUCCUUUGUAAUUCCAAAAUCCAAAAGUUCUGGAAAACAAGUGUUUUUUGCAGCUCACUGGGGGUAAAAAAUGACUUGACAUCACAUAAGAUCAUAUAUUUUAAUCCCAUCUAGGUCCAAUCAUUGUAUUUUUGCAGCAGAAAUAUUGAAGAGUGUGAUUGUGGGAUGCUACUGAGAAUAUUAAACAUUUUAGAGGAUACAAAUUAUGCUACCUUUCCAUAUCUGAGAAAACUUGUAAUUUAAAUGAACUUCAGAAAGUUCAGAAUUCUGAACUCCAUCUGACUCCUCAGGUUUUUUGUUGUUGUUCUUGUUGUUUUGGGUUUUUUGUUUUUGGUUUUUUUUUUGGUUUUCCUUUAGGUGUUGAGGAUUGAACCAAGGCAUGCUCUACCACUGAGUCACAUCCCAGUCAUUUUUAUUUUUAAUUUUGAGACAGGAUAUCACUAAGUUGCAUGGGGCCUUGCUAAGUUGCUGAGGCUGGCCUUGAACUUGUGAUCCUCCUGCCCCAGCUUCCUGAGUCACUGGGAUUACAGAUGUAUACUACCAUACCCAACUGUCUGCUAAAGUUUUGGAUAGGGAAUUGUGGACAUAAAGACUGGAUACAAAAAAACCAAUAAGCUCAUGAAAAGAUGUGCGAUCACAUUAACCACCAGGAAAAUGCAAACAAGAUGACAAUGAGAAACUGCUUUAUACUAACUAUAAUGGCUACAAUAAAAAGACAGACAAUGACAAGGAUAUAGAGAAACAGGAACCCUCAUUCAUUUCUGGUGGGAAUGCAAAACAGUGCAGCUUUAAAGAACAGUUUGCAAGUUACCGUAUGAACUAGCUACUUUACUCCUAGGUAUACAUCCAAGGAAAACAAAAA
rnacentral:lncRNA from 1 species